rnacentral:misc_RNA from 1 species
AAACUGCGAUAAGUAGUGUGAAUUGCAUUUAGUGAAUCAUCGAAUCUUUGAACGCACAUUGCGCCCCUUGGUAUUCCAUGGGGCAUGCCUGUUCGAGCGUCAUUUGUACCUUCAAGCUUUGCUUGGUGUUGGGUGUUUGUCUCGCCUCUGCGUGUAGACUCGCCUCAAAACAAUUGGCAGCCGGCGUAUUGAUUUCGGAGCGCAGUACAUCUCGCGCUUUGCACUCAUAACGACGACGUCCAAAAGUACAUUUUUACACUCUUGACCUCGGAUCAGGUAGGGAUACCCGCUGAACUUAAGC